CCCGGCCCUAAUUCGAUCCCUCCGUCCUCACAUGGUCCGUCAAUUACAUAUCAUCUACAUACGUUCUAAUUUCUAUUUCUCAAGUCGUCACAAUUGUUUAUGAAGAGCGUUGUGGCUUCUUGAAUCUUGGCACAUGUACUUUAUUUGUGAAAUUGUUCAAGCUGUUAUAUGCAAGUUUCAAACUCAAUUUUAGUUUGACUUAUUCACUUAUCAUUGAAUCAAAGUGCAAAUAUAUCCUCAAGUAAAAUCCUAGGUACCAAUGAUGAUGGAACAUACUACGUAUGGCAACGAACUCGAUCAGGGACAAGGCUACAACCAAUUGUGCCGCUCGCUUCUAUGCGUGCUCUCAAUCGAUUGCUUCAUCAAAUUAAUAAAGCACGACUUGGUUAGGGUUUUUUGCUCAUAUAUAUAGACAUAUAUUUUUAUCCUAAUUAAGCUCCUGGACAGUAUUGAUCUUGUUGUCGUCUCUACUGAUAUAUUCUUAAAAAUGGAUAUUCAUGGAGUUUGGAUAAGAUAACGAUUUAGUCUUUCUGCGUAAUAUUUAUUGCGCAAAGAUGUUUUUGAUAGACAACGUAGGUGUCAAACGUGCACAUCUACUAGCCUUUCCCUAAUAUAUAAUUGUAAAAAUUUCAGUCUGCCCAUAUUUUGUCCACCAAUCUUCUCUGGAAUCUUCUCUAGAAUCGGCCCGUCCGUCCACUGCUUCAUAAGGCCAUGUGUUCAUAAUUUACAUACAUUUAAUUAAUAUAUCAUAUUUCAUAGAAAUCCUAAUCUAAAUAAAAAAAUAAAGCUGGCAACAAACUUCUCGUGUUUUAAUAUAAUACUAAGGUAUAUUAAGAGGUAAUAUUAGAGUAAGAUAAAGUUUGUCUGAUUUUUAUUUUUAUUAUUAAAUAAAUAUAUCUCCAAGCUAUAUAUUAUUGUAAAUAUUAGCUAUCUAAUACCAUAGAUGUCAUGGUUAUCAAUAAAAUAAAUUAUGGACUUUAAAUUUUAUAUAAAAAAGAUAAAUAUAAAUAGAUAUGUAAUAUUAUAUCAUCACUUACUAUGGUCAUUUGAUGUUUUUCUCCCGUUGCAACGCACGGGUAUAUUUGCUAGUAUAUAAAAGAGAGAGUUGUUGACAGUAGAAUUCAAUUUUCGCGGCAACAAGAGACAGCCCUGAACAUGCAUGCAUGGUGCCACCAAGAUUAGCUAUCAUGGAUUAAUUUUGUGUCACACGAACUGCGGUCGUUGUUGGUAGCUGUAGUCGUCGUCGCCGUGAGCCGCGUCGGUCGUCUCGAGGAUAAACCUGGCAAUGCACGCACAUUGGUACGUCGUCAGGGACGGGUACAAGACACUACGUACCUGACCUCUGUGGCCAUGCACAGCUGCCUGUCUGCCUUUCGACGGCUUUUCUUUCGCGCUGUCUAGCUCCCAUUCACCGGCACCGAGUUGCUGGCCGCUCCACUCGCCAAUUUGCAGAGAUUUGCCGGGGCUCCAGUACACUAGUAGUACUGUGUACUCGACACACGACCGAUCAAAUCGCAUGAAUAAUGAUCUAUACGUACAUGUUUUCUUUUUUCUUUUCUUUUCUUUUUUUUUUCUUCAGUUGCUUGUUGUACUCGAGAUUUCAUGCACGCACGCAAGCAUUAUUGUCACUAGCUAGCUGGAUGUGUCCAUCUAGUGAUCGAUCGACCUGCUUGAAGCUUGCAAUAGCAUCCACCUUUGCCUGGUUAUGGGGUACAAGUCAAUGCAUUAACGGCUUGUUCUAGUCAAGAGCUAAUCAUGUAGGAGGUGAUUAGUUCAGACCAAAUGAUAUCGAUCUUGGAUAGAUCUGGAAACUUGCAUUCGGUCAUGCUAGCUCACUAUGAUGGUCCACAUAAUCAUGUAACGUUGAUUUAGUAUCUAAUAAAUUAAUAUAUGUAUGCAAUUAAGCAUAUAUGUACCUUACAUACGCGUAAAUCACACUAGCCCUUCUAUCUAAACAUGCAAAUUCUCACUAAAUAUCCACAUCAUCUCUCACUAGGCAUCCACAUCAUCUCUCACUAAGUGCCAACUUUCAGUAUCUUAAUACAACAAGCUAUCAAUUUCACCUUCACUAUAAGUCAAAUUACUAUUUUGAUCAAUAUACAAAGAGUCCACAUAUUGCUAUUUGUUUUGUUGUUCCAUUUUCUUAUAACUCAAUCUAGAUUCAUUAUUCUUUUAUUAUAAUUAUUUCAUUGCCAUGCCUAAUUUAUAUAUUUUCUUAGAUUAUCUUGCAGCAAUAGCGCUGGGUAUCCUUUUAGUUAAUUUCUAUGAUCUUUUUAAGACACUCACAUGCAAUCAUUCAUCAAAAUUACGUAGAUAAAAUUAACACCUAUUUUCCACGCCGAUGCCAUAAACACCGGUUGCUAAUUAAAUUGCUACAUAAAUCAAGGUUACAUUGACACAAAACAAGCAGCUUGCCGUCAAAAUGAAACUGCUCCCAAAUGAGGAAUAAUGAGGAAGUGGGAGUAGUGCAUUAUGCUAGAAAUUCUUUGAAAGCUUAAAAUGCUAGCAUUUUGGGUGGAAUGUAUGAAUAAUAUUUAUAUAUACUUGUAUAUAUAUUUUCAAACUGUUAGCUAGCUAAUUAGGUAAUUUCUGUUAAUUCCACAACAAAAAUUAUGGCAAACACAUAAAUACUAACAUAUGCAAAUCUGUAAGCUAAAAAAGUGGUUUCAAUUAGAGUUACUUAGUUGUUAAGACAGCAGCUCUAUCACUGUGAAACAAUAUCAACUACUCCAUGUAUAUAUAUAUAUAUAUAUAUAUAUAUAUAUAUAUAUAUAUAUAGUAUAUGGUUAUACUUAUUGUAUGUAAUAUAGUAGUGGCAUUUUAGUAAUAUAUUUAAAAUAUAAUUUUUUUAAAAAAAUUUCGCGUGGUA
rnacentral:lncRNA from 1 species